AUGGCUCCUCCCGGCGCCGCCCUCCUCGGCCCGCCGCAGGCCAUCGUCGACACCGAGAUGGCCGACCGCAAGCCCGACGCCAAGAAGCCGACGCCCACCAAGCAGCCCAAGCCGAAGCGCGCGCCCCGCGGGUACUCCUUCGACUCUUCCUCCUCCACGACAUCAUCGGACGGCUACAGCGACUCGGACGAUGACGAGCCCCGGCGCAAGCCGGCGGCGCCCCAUGCCCCCGGCCGCGCGCUGGCGUACGCCUCGUCGGGCGACCCCUGCGUCGACUUCUUCUUCCAGGUCGUGCCCGGCGCGACCGCGCCCGCCGACGUGGCCGCGCUGCUCGGCGUCGCGUGGGCCGCCGACGCGCGCACGGCGCUGCGCCUCGUGUGCCACCUCCGCGGCGUCCGCGGCCUCGGCAAGGCCGACCGCGAGGGCUUCUACGCCGCCGCGCUCUGGAUGCACGCCAACCACCCGCGCACGCUCGCCGCCAACCUCGGGGGAUUCGCCAGGUUCGGCUGCCUCAAGGACCUCCCCGAGAUCCUCUACCGCGUCCUCCACGGCCCCCGCGACGAGCGCAAGGACCAGGACGACGUCGCCGCGGCCGCCGCCAUCCAGUACCGCCGCGGCGGGCCCGUGGGCAAGAGCGGCAAGCGGCGCUGCGUCGGCGGCGGCAGGGCCGCCGCCGCGGAGGCCGCCAAGGCCCGGCGCGAGAAGGAGGCGGAGCACGCGCAGGCCGUGCUCGCCCGCUACGACUCCGACGAGGCCUUUCGCAACCUCUACGACGGCGUCGCCGACCUCUUCGCCGGGCUGCUCAAGUCGGACCUGGAGCACCUGCGCGCGGGCGAGACGGCCAAGAUCGGGCUCGCCGCCAAGUGGUGCCCGUCGCUGCGCUCGUCGUACGACCGCGCGACGCUGCUCUGCGAGGCCAUCGCGCGCCGCGUCUUCCCGCGCGACUCGAGCCCCGAGUACCUCGCCAUCCCCGACAAGCACUACGCCUACCGCGUCCGCAGCCGGCUCCGGCGCGAGGUGCAGGUGCCGCUGCGCAAGGUGCUCGAGCUCCCCGAGGUCUACAUGAGCGCCCGCAAGUGGGACGAGCUGCCCUACGCGCGCGUCGCCUCCACGGCCAUGCGCCAGUACAAGGAGGCGUUCGACAAGCACGACAAGGAGGGCGUGGCCGGCUUCUACGACGAGGUGCGCGCCGGGCUGUCCAGGAUCCCCGCCGGCGCGGUGCUGCCGCACGUGAUCGUCGCCGCCGCGCUCAAGGGCGAGCACGACGAGUCGGCGGAGCUCCAGUGGCGCCGCAUGGUCUCCUCCCUCGCCUCGGAGGGCCGCCUCACCAACUGCAUCGCCAUGUGCGCGCUGUCCGGCUGCACGUCGGACAAGCCGCCCGCCGCGGCCGCCAUCGCGCUGGGGCUGCUCAUCUCGGAGCUGAGCCAGGACCCCUGGAAGGGGCGCGUCAUCACCUUCGACGCCGCCCACCAGCUGCACAGGGUCCGCGGCGCGUCGCUGGUGGAGAAGCUCCGGCCGCUCGCCGCCGUGACCCCGCGGCGCGGCGCCAACCUGCAGGCGGUGUUCAACAAGAUCCUGAACGUGGCGGUGGCGGGCGCGCUGGCCAAGGACCAGAUGGUGCGGCGCGUCUUCGUGCUGAGCGACAUGGAGUUCGACGGGUGGACGGGCGGCGAGGCGUGGGUGUCGGAGCACGAGGCCAUCCGCAAGCGCUUCGCGGCCGAGGGCUUCGCGGCGCCCGAGGUGGUGUUCUGGAACGUGGGGAGCACGUCCAAGGCGGCGUCGCCGGUGGUGGCCGCGCAGGCCGGCGUGGCGCUGGUGAGCGGCUACUCCAAGAACCUGGUGCGCCUCUUCCUGGAGGCCGACGGCGUGCUCACCCCCUCCGCCAUCAUGGCCGACGCCAUCUCCGGCCCCGACUACGACGCCCUCGAGGUGCUCGACUGA
rnacentral:rRNA from 1 species